rnacentral:misc_RNA from 1 species
AAUACAACAAUUGGGAAAAGUUUUUGAACUUUAUUCAAACUUCUUCUAAAAUGAAUGCGUUUGAUAUCAUCAAUCCGAAGGAAACUCAGGAAAACAGUCUGCCAAAUGGAAUGGAAGUUUUGAAGCAUGAUGAUAAUGCGUUCUCUAAUCAGUAUACAAGUGGAAAGUCUUUUGAUGAGUUGGAGGAGAAAAAAGUGGACGAGAAUACCGAGAAAGGAAUACGGUUUUCGGUUGAUUUUAAGCUUCAUCCGGAUGCUGUUAAGAAAUUUGAUUCCGUUGGUCAACAGAUUCGAUCCAAUUGUUGCGUUGUUCAACAUAAUCUUGUCAUGCACUCUUUCGUGUAUUCUCUUGCCGUUGUCAAGGAUUGCAAGCAAGAAGGUUCCAAUUUUAUUCGAUAAAAUGAGGAUUGGUCUAAACUAGAAUCGUAGGACCUAGUAAGAGGAACAUCUAGAAUGAGCGAAAGAAAAUGAAACUACUUCGAUAACUAUUUGAUACUAUUUGAACUAAAAUGAGACACUCAAAAUAUUUAUUGAAAUGUCGCGCAGCCUAGUUAUUUUAAAGUUAGGCUUAUUGCCAUUUCAGGGUUCCUGUGUAAGUUCAGUGUACUCCCAGUCAGUCAUACAUAUCGUUAUCCAAUUGAAAUGAAGAAAGGAGGUGUACCUGUUACUUUCAAGCCGGAAGUUCCAGAAUUGAAUGAUGUCAAGUUCACAGUGAACAAUGAAAUGUUCUUUGAUCUUAUUAAAGAUGACAAUGGAUCCUAUUCAUGUGAUACACUUGUAACUCUUGAUUCGUUCAAAACAAUGACCAAGAAUGGUGUUGCCAUCAUUAAUGUUGGAAUGACUAUUGGGAAGGAAUACUUUGAAAUUGGAAACUAUGUCAAUCUGAACUUGAAAGAAGCUCAUGUGGUUCCCAAUUCGUACAAAAUUCUGGAUAAAAUCUUUACGGGUGAGAAAGUUCCACAAUGUGAUUGGGUUUUCACGGUGAAAGAUGGAUCUCCGAGUGAUUUUCAUGUGCAUGGUCCAGUACUUGCCGAUUCGAGUAUUGUUAUGAGAGCUGCAGUGGUGAGCCAUAUGAGCAUUGGUCCACAGAUUGCAAUGAUAUCUCAUGAAAAUCGCUUGAUCUUCAAUACUUUGAAAUCAAGAGAUAUGCAUGUGAUUCUCACUUACAUUUACCAUCGUCGUUAUGUACUUCCUGACUUUGACGCCGUUUCUCGAGUUGGACAGAUUCUAUCGCUUCUCUUCAGAGAUGAAAUCCCAAAGUUUUUCGAAAGUUGGGAAGCUGAUCUGAUUAAGAAAGUCAAAACUCUUGAUCGUUCGGAUACUCUGAAGACCGUGGCUGAAUGCGUGAGAGCCCUAAUCCGCGUCAUGUCUGCUCCGCAUGGCUCAAUGCUUGGAGCCUACAACGUAUCUCUCAUUGUUGCAGCUGAUGCAUGGCAAAUGGCUGAAGCAAAAGGAAAGAAAGUGAAGAUUGAGAAAGUGAAGAAGGAGAUUGGAGAAUCGUGGACAUUGAUUGAUUCGAUUUUGGAAUUGAUCGACGAUUUCAAGACAUCGGUUUGUGGAACGGAGAAAGUUCAAUAUGUCUGA